rnacentral:rRNA from 1 species
AUUGAACGCUGGCGGCAUGCCUUACACAUGCAAGUCGAACGGCAGCACGGGAGCAAUCCUGGUGGCGAGUGGCGAACGGGUGAGUAAUAUAUCGGAACGUGCCCAGUCGUGGGGGAUAACGUAGCGAAAGCUACGCUAAUACCGCAUACGAUCUAUGGAUGAAAGCGGGGGAUCGCAAGACCUCGCGCGAUUGGAGCGGCCGAUAUCAGAUUAGGUAGUUGGUGAGGUAAGGGCUCACCAAGCCGACGAUCUGUAGCUGGUCUGAGAGGACGACCAGCCACACUGGGACUGAGACACGGCCCAGACUCCUACGGGAGGCAGCAGUGGGGAAUUUUGGACAAUGGGCGCAAGCCUGAUCCAGCAAUGCCGCGUGCAGGAUGAAGGCC